CUUGGGAGGGGGCUGGGCCUGACCUGCAUGGUGGUCUGAUGUAUUCUGAAAGAGCUCCCAACUUAACUACUGAUUUACCCGUGUUUACUGCCUCUUGGGACUCUACUUUUGCAGCAACAAGAGACUUACCGCUAUCUCGUUAUACUGGGGCUCUCCUAGAGCACGUAAACUCUGGAUUGCUCAUACACUCAAAGGAGGACGCGGUGAGGCCUAGUGUGGAUGC